GUGCUCCUACGGGGGGCAGCAGUGGGGGAUAUUGCACAAUGGGGGGAACCCUGAUGCAGCGACGCCGCGUGGGUGAAGGAGCGUUUCGACGCGUAAAGCCCUAUCGGCAGGGGAGAAGGAGGACGGUACCUGACUAAGAAGCCCCGGCUAACUACGUGCCAGCAGCCGCGGUAAUACGUAGGGGGCAAGCGUUAUCCGGAUUUACUGGGGGUAAAGGGGGCGCAGACGGCAGCGCAAGCCAGGAGUGAAAGCCCGGGGCCCAACCCCGGAACGGCUCUGGAAACUGGUCGGCUAGAGUACAGGAG
rnacentral:rRNA from 1 species